AUUAAUUUUUUUACAGCAUCGGGCUGGAGGAAACAGAGAAUCGUCCCAUGGAUCCAUCUUUCCAUGUGAGCCUCCAUGGAGAGAAUGGGCAAGGAGCCUGAGGUCCGAGAUGGAAGAAAUGGGUAUGAUGGGCCAGGCAACAGCCACAUAUUGGGAGAAGAUCAACAUAAAAUCUUCUUACUGCUCCAGCUAUCAAUAAAUGUUGAAGAUGAAUUCUGGAAACUAUCAGAUCUACAAAAUGCUUGAAGGGAUACCAGUGGAAGAUUAAUUAGAAGAACGGUUGGCUGCUGCUUACUGAAGUACCUGCCAUAACUGGAAUGAAAACAAAGAUGGUCUAUUUUUAAAAGGCUGCAGGAAACAACAUGUGCCUAGCAUGUGUCAUAGGGCCAUUCCAGCUUUUUUCCUUCUUCUUCUUCUUGAAAUCUAUCCCUUGACAUCAGACAGUUCUUCCUAAGUGGUAUCUCUGAUCACAGCCCUGUUGCAGCUUUCACUUCAGGAAAGUUAGCAAACCCUGCCAUUUCCCCCAUGAUGAGAUGCGAGAAGCAUGCCAUGGCAGCUUGCCCAUUCUUGAAAACAGCAUGCUAAGUCCUUUAUGAAGGCGUUCAUCUGUUUGCUGUAGGUCAGGGUAAGCUUCCUCAUUUGCGACCAAGAGCUAUUGACAAAGCUCCUUGCAGGAUUAAUGAACAAUUAGGCUCCAACUGGGAACUGACCAUCUUGUGCAGGUUGAGAUUCAUUUAUGCUUGUUAUGUUGUUGUUCUCUACAAUUACUGUAUUUCAGCAUUUUCCCGUAGCAACAAACUAAGCCUAUGGAUGCCUGCAAAAGAUGUAAUAAAUUUAAUAAAUUGCUUGGCUGAUAAGAGAUG
rnacentral:lncRNA from 1 species